AAUUGAGAUGUGAGACACUCCUCUGGCUCAGAAAUGUGCAAGACCUAAACACAACUUGAGGUUAGUUCAAGUGCUUUAAAUCUGUAUGAGUAAACCACUCACAGGAAAAGAGAGGCAGGAAGUUAUAAACAGAGAAGACUGUGAUUUUAAGAGCUUUAACAAGAUGAUGAAACAACAGAGAAAAACAGAGGUCAUUUUUGUCUGGGUCUUAGCCAUCUGGCUCUCUUCAGUUGUCAACAGUGAAAGUAAAGUGGAGCUGAGAACCAGUACUGAGGUAAAGGCUCAGUGUGAUCAGAAUGUGUCCCUGCAGUGUGACAUCAUGUCAUCGAGCCCACUCAAGAUCAUUCUCUUUUCCUGGGUAAGGAAAACGAAACAGCUGUGUGUGGUCAAUGCCACUGGUGUAUUCUCCUUUCCUGGCGUCCGGUGUGACAACACAAACAACACCCUCACACUCAAUCUGACUCGGGUGAUGCCGUCCAGUCAGGGUAACUACACCUGCAAACUGCGCUCUAACCUAACGAUCACAGCUGACAACACCACUGUGACAAUGCAAGGUCUGUAUACUGUAUAGGAAUAAUGCUCCUAUAUAACUAAUGAUGAUGCUGUUGUAGGAUGGGAGCAAUUGCAACAAUGACGCAUGUAGGCAAGUCAGACCAAAUAUUACACAAAUAUGGCAAUUCAAUUGUUAGACGUACUCCAGCUAUGUGAAUGUUACUUGAGAACUACUCAGUCCGCCAGCACAAAGAGCUAGCUGGAUGAAGAGGGGCUGUUUGAUAUAAGGAGUACCCUGCCUACCCAGGCUGGGACUGAGCCUUACAACUGCUCCUUGUGGAUACCUAGUAGUGGAACCUACAGCUCUCACAAACAGCUGCACUACUCCAGGGGGAUCUCUUCAGGGACAAAGACUAGGAGCAGACUGCUGUUGGUCUUCAUCCUGGUUGGACUCAUACUCAUAAUCAUCAGGACUACUCAUGGGAAGGUCAGGAGGUUUUUUACUGAACAUGGGACUUCGAACUACAGUAGGGCAAAGGGUUUUCCUGGUCAGGGCACAUCUACACAGGAUGAAUCAGGGCCUUUCUCUAACUGAGUGAAGAGAAAGCAAACCUGGACUGCCAUGGCCAAAGUGGAUAUAUGUUUUCACUUUUUAUACUGGGAAGCAAAAUAUCAAAGCAAUUACAAUGAAUAGAAUAGAAUUUUAAACUGAAAAUCAUUGUACAUUGGGAUUUGAGAAUACUGUAAGAAGUAUUCAUCCGUUCUCAUCUUGUUCAUCGUUUGUCUUCAACAUUAUACACUUGCUUAAAUUGCAUUGCUUAUUACAGUAGUAGAGUACUGCUUCCUGGUGGUGAAAGUGUUUACUGAUGGAAAUAGUAUUGAUGUUAGCUGAGUCAUAAAGCUGUUCUAAAUUGUAUUGUUGAAUUGACUGAUCUUGCUUAUUAAGUCUGUCAUAUGUUGUUGCUGUGUUUUCCAGUCAACACUGAUUAGACUGAUUAUAUAAUAAUCAAUGCAAUGUCAAACAUGGCUAGAAGGACAUGUUACUGUGUGUUCUGGAUUCUAAAAUAUAAGUUUUAUUAUACCAUAGCAAAUAUAGUCAACCGUGUUGUUUUCUGUACUAGUUCUCAGUUUAAAAAUGAACCAGACCACCGAGGGUACUCAUGACAAUGACAGUGAAAGAAUGAGGACUCAUGGUCAUUCAAAUUGCAUUUCUAGUUCCUGCUCAGUGUACCACAAGGGGGCAGAGUCAUCCCACCAGAGAGGACUGUCAAACCAAUCAUACACAACUCUUCUCCCUCUGCAUACAAACACACAAUCAUGCUGUGUGAAUUCCAAUCCAACUCUUCUGUAUAAAUCAACACUUUGAUGUGACACAUUUCCUAUCAAUUUCCUCUACGCCAAUGUGGGGUCUCCUGCAAAGUGAAGGAGUGAAGGGUAAAAUGUCUGUCAUUAUAAAACACUCAAAUCAAUCCACAUGACUUCUGCGGUGUCAAACUCACAUCUCUAAUGCAUUAUCCAGGUGCGAGGAUAUGUAAAGUGUUUUAGAUGGACUGACCUUGUUGCACAUGUUGUGUGGGCUGCUGUGAGAGAUGUUAAAAGUACCUGUUGAGUACACAGUAUAACAACACAUGCUGCAUUUUCCGGAUAAAUAGGUACAUUUCCCCGACAAUUGUGAGGAUUCCUGCAAAGUGGGAUGUCAUUAUCAAACACUAUGAUGAGUCCUGUUGUCAUUAUCAAACACUAUGAUGAGUCCUGUUGUCAUUAUCAAACACUAUGAUGAGUCCUGUUGUCAUUAUCAAACACUAUGAUGAGUCCUGUUGUCAUUAUCAAACACUAUGAGUCCUGUUGUCAUUAUCAAA